GGGGAUGUGGCUCAAGUGGUAGUGCCCUUGCCUGGCAUGCAUGCGGCCCGGAGUUCGAUCCUCAGCACCACA
rnacentral:tRNA from 1 species